UCAGGAGCUCAUUCAUGAGUUUUGUUUACUUUUUUUUAUUAUUUUGUUGAAGCCAGGUAUGGUGAUACACAUCUGUGAUUCUGAUACUUGGAAGACAAAGGCAGGAGGAUGGAUUUAAACUCAAGGCCAGCCUAAGCUACAUACUGAGACAUAUUUUAAAAAAAAAGAAAGAAAAGAAAAGAAAAAGAGAAAAAGAAAUUCACAUAAACUAAAGGAUUCAGUGGCAUGUUUCCUACAACAUGCCUGACUUGUCUCCACUCAAGGGUUUAGGGAUCAUCCGUAUCGUAGCAUAGUCAACUCCAUUCCUCUUUAUGGGGAGGACAAUGUUACCACUGCAAGGGGAAGCUGAGGACAAAGGGCCCUUUGUGAGGAUGGUCCCCACCUGAGCAGCAGCACCCUGGGUCGCACCUGAUGGUGGAGCAGCCCUUCCUCUCCUUCCAGCCCCUGCGCGGAGCCAGCUUCCAGAAAUGACCUGGGGACCUGGGGAAACUGUGCAGGCCUGAACUGACUUCUCCAAAUGACUCUGCUGGCCCAUCCCAAGCCUGGCACAUCCCAGUGAGAAGGAGAGGCAGGGACAAUGGUUCCUAGUGAAGGACCUGGAUACAGGAUAUACAGGUUUCUUCCCUCAGUGUCUAAAGUUUGAGACCUUGGGCGGAUGCUGGCCUGUGGGAGGCCUGGCAGGUGGGAAGUAUUUGUCUUAUCCAUUGCAACAUCUGUAUGGGACAUACUUCACAGCUGGACUCCCAAGGGAGUGUUUCUGAAGAAAAAGAAAAGGCAACUUAAAAAAACCAAACACUUUAUGGGAUGUAUUUAUAUGCUGGUACUCCACUAUCGGGGAGACUGGAGGCUGGGAAGAGUCCUAACAGCUGCACACCAGUCCUUACCCAGAAGAGGUUCACUGUGGGUGUGGAGGUAUAAACACCAUUGGGUUGUUUGAUGAUACAAACAUUGGUAAUUUAUAUGCCAACACAGCAAGAGCAAAAAUGAGAUACUAAAGACAGAUUGUUAAAAAAAACAGUAGAGGUAAUUCACAAGAUAAGGCACAAGAUCUCUAAGACAUACAGAGUCUGAACGAGGAAUGAAGGAAAUCCCGCAACUCCCCCAGCGGUGCCUGAGAGCCCCGUAGUUUGCCGGAGAACCCCUAGGCUGGUGGAACCGUUGCCCUGCACACACCCUUUCUCCUGCUGCAGAGCACCUCUCCAGUAUCAUUUGUGUGCAGGGCCCUAGUGGCCCCUA